rnacentral:rRNA from 1 species
UUCCGGUUGAUCCUGCCGGACCUGACUGCUAUCGGAUUGAUACUAAGCCAUGCGAGUCUUUGUAGUAAUACAAGGCAUACGGCUCAGUAACGCGUAGUCAACCUACCCUAUGGACAAGAAUAAUCUCGGGAAACUGAGCAUAAUUCUUGAUAGAUCAUAAUGCCUGGAAUGGUUUAUGGUUAAAAUGAUUCGUCGCCAUAGGAUGGGACUGCGGCCUAUCAGCUUGUUGGUGAGGUAAUGGCCCACCAAGGCGAUAACAGGUACGGGCUCUGAGAGGAGAAGCCCGGAGAUGGGUACUGAGACAAGGACCCAGGCCCUAUGGGGCGCAGCAGGCGAGAAAACUUUGCAAUGUGCGAAAGCACGACAAGGUUAGUCCGAGUGAUUUCUGCUAAAGAGAUCUUUUGCUAGUUAUAAAACCACUAGUGAAUAAGGGGUGGGCAAGUUCUGGUGUCAGCCGCCGCGGUAAAACCAGCACCUCAAGUGGUCAGGAUGAUUAUUGGGCCUAAAGCAUCCGUAGCCUGCUCUGUAAGUUUUCGGUUAAAUCUGUAUGCUCAACAUACAGGCUGCCGGGAAUACUGCAGAGCCAGGGAGUGGGAGAGGUAGACGGUACUCGGUAGGAAGGGGUAAAAUCCUUUGAUCUAUCGAUGACCACCUGUGGCGAAGGCGGUCUACCAGAACACGUCCGAUGGUGAGGGAUGAAAGCUGGGGGAGCAAACCGGAUUAGAUACCCGGGUAGUCCCAGCUGUAAACUAUGCAAACUCAGUGAUGCAUUGACUUGUGGUCAAUGCAGUGCUGCAGGGAAGCCGUUAAGUUGCCGCCUGGGAAGUACGUACGCAAGUAUGAAACUUAAAGGAUUUGGCGGGGGAGCAC